rnacentral:rRNA from 1 species
AUUGAACGCUGGCGGCAUGCCUUACACAUGCAAGUCGAACGGCAGCACGGGUGCUUGCACCUGGUGGCGAGUGGCGAACGGGUGAGUAAUACAUCGGAACGUACUUUAACGUGGGGGAUAACAAAUUGAAAAAUUUGCUAAUACCGCAUAAUACUCGGAGGAGGAAAGCGGGGGAUUUGUAAGAACCCUGUGCGAUUAGAGCGGCCGAUGGCUGAUUAGCUAGUUGGUGAGGUAAAGGCACACCAAGGCAACGAUCAGUAGCAGGUCUGAGAGGAUGAUCUGCCACACUUGAACUGAGAAACGGUCCAGACUCCUACGGGAGGCAGCAGUGGGGAAUUUUGGACAAUGGACGAAAGUCUGAUCCAGCAAUGCCGCGUGAGUGAAGAAGGCCUUCGGGUUGUAAAGCUCUUUUGUCAGUGAAGAAAACUUUAAUAAUAACACUAUUAAAGCAUGACGGUAACUGAAGAAUAAGGACCGGCUAACUACGUGCCAGCAGCCGCAGUAA